rnacentral:rRNA from 1 species
AUUAAGAGCUUGCUCUUAUGAAGUUAGCGGCGGACGGGUGAGUAACACGUGGGUAACCUGCCCAUAAGACUGGGAUAACUCCGGGAAACCGGGGCUAAUACCGGAUAACAUUUUGAACCGCAUGGUUCGAAAUUGAAAGGCGGCUUCGGCUGUCACUUAUGGAUGGACCCGCGUCGCAUUAGCUAGUUGGUGAGGUAACGGCUCACCAAGGCAACGAUGCGUAGCCGACCUGAGAGGGUGAUCGGCCACACUGGGACUGAGACACGGCCCAGACUCCUACGGGAGGCAGCAGUAGGGAAUCUUCCGCAAUGGACGAAAGUCUGACGGAGCAACGCCGCGUGAGUGAUGAAGGCUUUCGGGUCGUAAAACUCUGUUGUUAGGGAAGAACAAGUGCUAGUUGAAUAAGCUGGCACCUUGACGGUACCUAACCAGAAAGCCACGGCUAACUACGUGCCAGCAGCCGCGGUAAUACGUAGGUGGCAAGCGUUAUCCGGAAUUAUUGGGCGUAAAGCGCGCGCAGGUGGUUUCUUAAGUCUGAUGUGAAAGCCCACGGCUCAACCGUGGAGGGUCAUUGGAAACUGGGAGACUUGAGUGCAGAAGAGGAAAGUGGAAUUCCAUGUGUAGCGGUGAAAUGCGUAGAGAUAUGGAGGAACACCAGUGGCGAAGGCGACUUUCU